rnacentral:rRNA from 1 species
CGAACGCUGGUCUUCGUGCCUAAUACAUGCAAGUCGAGCGCGGGAAGCGGACGGAUCCCUUCGGGGUGAUGUCCGUGGAACGAGCGGCGGACGGGUGAGUAACACGUGGGCAACCUGCCCGUAAGACCGGGAUAACGCUUGGAAACGAGUGCUAAUCCCGAAUACGACCGAUGGUUCGCAUGAACCGUUGGGGAAAGACGCGUUCGCGUCGGUAUCGGAUGGGCCCGCGGCGCAUUAGCUAGUUGGUGGGGUAACGGCCUACCAAGGCGACGAUGCGUAGCCGACCUGAGAGGGUGACCGGCCACACUGGGACUGAGACACGGCCCAGACUCCUACGGGAGGCAGCAGUGGG